rnacentral:rRNA from 1 species
UACGGAGGGUGCAAGCGUUAAUCGGAAUUACUGGGCGUAAAGCGUGCGCAGGCGGUUUGUUAAGUCCGUUGUGAAAGCCCCGAGCUCAACUUGGGAAUUGCAGUGGAUACUGGCAGGCUGGAGUACGGUAGAGGAAGGUGGAAUUCCCGGUGUAGCAGUGAAAUGCGUAGAGAUCGGGAGGAACACCAGUGGCGAAGGCAGAUCUCUGGGCCGUAACUGACGCUGAGAAGCGAAAGCAUGGGGAGCGAACAGG